GGCACGCCUAAACAUGCAAGUCGAACGAAGUAGCAAUACUUAGUGGCAGACGGGUGAGUAACAUGUGGGUAUCUACCCUUUGGCCUGGAAUAACACGAGGAAACUUGUGCUAAUACUGGAUAAGUCUUUACGGAGAAAGCUUUAUGCACCAUUGGAUGAGCCCGCACUUGAUUAGUUUGUUGGUAGGGUAAUGGCCUACCAAGACUAUGAUCAAUAGCUGAUUUGAGAGGAUGAUCAGCCACAUUGGGACUGAGACACGGCCCAAACUCCUACGGGAGGCAGCAGUGGGGAAUCUUGCACAAUGGAGGAAACUCUGAUGCAGCGAUGCCGCGUGAGUGAAGAAGGCCCUUGGGUUGUAAAGCUCUUUCGUCGGGGAAGAAAAUGACUGUACCCGAAUAAGAAG
rnacentral:rRNA from 1 species